AAAAGAACCCCGGCGAGGGGAGUGAAAAAGAACCUGAAACCGUGUACGUACAAGCAGUGGGAGCCUCUUAAUGGGGUGACUGCGUACCUUUUGUAUAAUGGGUCAGCGACUUAUAUUCUGUAGCAAGGUUAACCGAAUAGGGGAGCCGAAGGGAAACCGAGUCUUAACUGGGCGUUAAGUUGCAGGGUAUAGACCCGAAACCCGGUGAUCUAGCCAUGGGCAGGUUGAAGGUUGGGUAACACUAACUGGAGGACCGAACCGACUAAUGUUGAAAAAUUAGCGGAUGACUUGUGGCUGGGGGUGAAAGGCCAAUCAAACCGGGAGAUAGCUGGUUCUCCCCGAAAGCUAUUUAGGUAGCGCCUCGUGAAUUCAUCUCCGGGGGUAGAGCACUGUUUCGGCAAGGGGGUCAUCCCGACUUACCAACCCGAUGCAAACUGCGAAUACCGGAGAAUGUUAUCACGGGAGACACACGGCGGGUGCUAACGUCCGUCGUGAAGAGGGAAACAACCCAGACCGCCAGCUAAGGUCCCAAAGUCAUGGUUAAGUGGGAAACGAUGUGGGAAGGCCCAGACAGCCAGGAUGUUGGCUUAGAAGCAGCCAUCAUUUAAAGAAAGCGUAAUAGCUCACUGGUCGAGUCGGCCUGCGCGGAAGAUGUAACGGGGCUAAACCAUG
rnacentral:rRNA from 1 species